GAUGAACGCUGGCGGCGUGCUUAACACAUGCAAGUCGAACGAUGAAGCCCAGCUUGCUGGGUGGAUUAGUGGCGAACGGGUGAGUAACACGUGAGUAACCUGCCCUUAACUCUGGGAUAAGCCUGGGAAACUGGGUCUAAUACCGGAUAGGAGCGUCCACCGCAUGGUGGGUGUUGGAAAGAUUUAUCGGUUUUGGAUGGACUCGCGGCCUAUCAGCUUGUUGGUGAGGUAAUGGCUCACCAAGGCGACGACGGGUAGCCGGCCUGAGAGGGUGACCGGCCACACUGGGACUGAGACACGGCCCAGACUCCUACGGGAGGCAGCAGUGGGGAAUAUUGCACAAUGGGCGCAAGCCUGAUGCAGCGACGCCGCGUGAGGGAUAACGGCCUUCGGGUUGUAAACCUCUUUCAGUAGGGAAGAAGCGAAAGUGACGGUACCUGCAGAAGAAGCACCGGCUAACUACGUGCCAGCAGCCGCGGUAAUACGUAGGGUGCGAGCGUUAUCCGGAAUUAUUGGGCGUAAAGAGCUCGUAGCGGUUUGUCGCGUCUGUCGUGAAAGUCCGGGGCUUAACCCCGGAUCUGCGGUGGGUACGGGCAGACUAGAGUGCAGUAGGGGAGACUGGAAUUCCUGGUGUAGCGGUGGAAUGCGCAGAUAUCAGGAGGAACACCGAUGGCGAAGGCAGGUCUCUGGGCUGUAACUGACGCUGAGGAGCGAAAGCAUGGGGAGCGAACAGGAUUAGAUACCCUGGUAGUCCAUGCCGUAAACGUUGGGCACUAGGUGUGGGGACCAUUCCACGGUUUCCGCGCCGCAGCUAACGCAUUAAGUGCCCCGCCUGGGGAGUACGGCCGCAAGGCUAAAACUCAAAGGAAUUGACGGGGGCCCGCACAAGCGGCGGAGCAUGCGGAUUAAUUCGAUGCAACGCGAAGAACCUUACCAAGGCUUGACAUGUUCUCGAUCGCCGUAGAGAUACGGUUUCCCCUUUGGGGCGGGUUCACAGGUGGUGCAUGGUUGUCGUCAGCUCGUGUCGUGAGAUGUUGGGUUAAGUCCCGCAACGAGCGCAACCCUCGUUCCAUGUUGCCAGCACGUAAUGGUGGGGACUCAUGGGAGACUGCCGGGGUCAACUCGGAGGAAGGUGAGGACGACGUCAAAUCACCAUGCCCCUUAUGUCUUGGGCUUCACGCAUGCUACAAUGGCCGGUACAAUGGGUUGCGAUACUGUGAGGUGGAGCUAAUCCCAAAAAGCCGGUCUCAGUUCGGAUUGGGGUCUGCAACUCGACCCCAUGAAGUCGGAGUCGCUAGUAAUCGCAGAUCAGCAACGCUGCGGUGAAUACGUUCCCGGGCCU
rnacentral:rRNA from 1 species